rnacentral:rRNA from 1 species
UACGGAGGGUGCAAGCGUUUAUCCGGAUUCACUGGGUUUAAAGGGUGCGUAGGAGGGCAGGUAAGUCAGUGGUGAAAUCCCCCGAGCUUAACUUGGGAACUGCCGUUGAUACUAUCUGUCUUGAAUACCGUGGAGAUGAGCGGAAUAUGUCAUGUAGCGGUGAAAUGCUUAGAUAUGACAUAGAACACCAAUUGCGAAGGCAGCUCGUUACACGAAUAUUGACUCUGAGGCACGAAAGCGUGGGGAUCAAACAGG